rnacentral:rRNA from 1 species
AGGGAAUCUUCGGCAAUGGACGAAAGUCUGACCGAGCAACGCCGCGUGAGUGAAGAAGGUUUUCGGAUCGUAAAACUCUGUUGUUAGAGAAGAACGUUGUGUAGAGUGGAAAAUUACACAAGUGACGGUAUCUAACCAGAAAGGGACGGCUAACUACGUGCCAGCAGCCGCGGUAAUACGUAGGUCCCGAGCGUUGUCCGGAUUUAUUGGGCGUAAAGCGAGCGCAGGUGGUUUAAUAAGUCUGAUGUAAAAGGCAGUGGCUCAACCAUUGUGUGCAUUGGAAACUGUUAGACUUGAGUGCAGUAGAGGAGAGUGGAAUUCCAUGUGGAGCGGUGAAAUGCGUAGAUAUAUGGAGGAACACCGGUGGCGAAAGCGGCUCUCUGGACUGUAACUGACACUGAGGCUAGAAAGAGGGAGUAGAAAGUA